AUACUUACUUGGCAGGGGAGAUAUCAUGAUCAAGAAGGUGGUUUUCCCACGGCAAGGCUUAUCCAUUGCACUCCGGAUGUGCUAACCUCUGCGAUUUCCCCAAAUGCAGGAAACUCGACUGCAUAAUUUGUGGUAGUGGGGGACUGAGUUUGCGUUUUCCCUCG
rnacentral:snRNA from 1 species